UACGGAGGGGGCUAGCGUUGUUCGGAAUUACUGGGCGUAAAGCGCACGUAGGCGGACUGGAAAGUCAGAGGUGAAAUCCCAGGGCUCAACCUUGGAACUGCCUUUGAAACUCCCGGUCUUGAGGUCGAGAGAGGUGAGUGGAAUUCCGAGUGUAGAGGUGAAAUUCGUAGAUAUUCGGAGGAACACCAGUGGCGAAGGCGGCUCACUGGCUCGAUACUGACGCUGAGGUGCUAAAGCGUGGGGAGCAAACAGG
rnacentral:rRNA from 1 species